CUAGGCUCCGCAGAUCCUCAGAUCAUCACCUUUUAACUGGCCGGGGAGAGGAGAUUCUUCUGCAGUACUGUUACAUGCCUUCCAGCUUCGAGACAUGCCUUCAAGAUGUGAGUCAUUUUAUUGUCUUUUUUUGGUUUUGUUCCUCUUUAUGUUUGUGUUUUUUUUUUUUUUCGGUUUUUUUUCGUUUUGUGCUUUUUCUUUUCCGAAAAAGAUUAGCAUGAAAGGACGGCGGCUGUGAUUGACGGGUGUGUUUUGCAGACUUUUUGGCAGGCACCCGGAGCCGAUCAAACGCUGAAAAGCUGCCUGACAGUAUUGAUGUAGUUAAUUAGAGUAAACACAGAGCACUCACAAGCCGCCUCGUUAUCUGCUACACACACACACACACACACACACACACACA
rnacentral:lncRNA from 1 species